rnacentral:rRNA from 1 species
AUUGAACGCUGGCGGCAGGCCUAACACAUGCAAGUCGAACGAGUGGCGGACGGGUGAGUAAUGUAUGGGAAACUGCCUGAUGGAGGGGGAUAACUACUGGAAACGGUAGCUAAUACCGCAUACCAUCAGAUGUGCCCAGAUGGGUUUAGCUUGUUGGUGGGGUAACGGCUCACCAAGGCGACGAUCCCUAGCUGGUCCGAGAGGAUGACCAGCCACACUGGGACUGAGACACGGUCCAGAUUCCUACGGGAGGCAGCAGUGGGGAAUAUUGGACAAUGGGCGAAAGCCUGAUGCAGCCAUGCCGCGUGGAUGAUGAAGGCCUUCGGGUUGUAAAGUACUUUCAGCGAGGAGGCGUUACCCGCAGAAGAAGCACCGGCUAACUCCGUGCCAGCAGCCGCGGUAAUAC